rnacentral:rRNA from 1 species
CCUACGGGUGGCAGCAGUGGGGAAUAUUGCACAAUGGGGGAAACCCUGAUGCAGCGACGCCGCGUGAGUGAAGAAGUAUUUCGGUAUGUAAAGCUCUGUCAGCAGGGAAGAAAAUGACGGUACCUGACCAAGAAGCCCCGGCUAACUACGUGCCAGCAGCCGCGGUAAUACGUAGGGGGCAAGCGUUAUCCGGAUUUACUGGGUGUAAAGGGAGCGUAGACGGCAGGGCAAGUCUGGAGUGAAAGGCGGGGGCUCAACCCCCGGACUGCUCUGGAAACUGCCAGGCUGGAGUGCAGGAGAGGUAAGUGGAAUUCCUAGUGUAGCGGUGAAAUGCGUAGAUAUCACGCAGAACCCCGAUUGCGAAGGCAGCAUACCGGUGCACAACUGACGCUCAGGCACGAAAGCGUGGGUAUCGAACAGGAUUAGAUACCCUUGUAGUC